UUGGAAUACAAUAGCCUUACAAUCACGUUGUGUUGCCCAUGACAGUUGACAGGAAGCACAGUACCACGCUGCAUGAUGGGAAAUGAAGUUACAAACAGGGACGACACAUUUACAAACUUCAGUCCCUAGAAAUCGGUAUUAAUAUGACUCAUGAUUCCCCACGGUUCCAGUAACAUUAG